GAUGAACGCUGGCGGUGUGCCUAAUACAUGCAAGUCGAGCGACCAGACGAGGAGAUUGUUCUCCUGCCGUUAGCGGCGGACGGGCGAGUAACACGUGCAUCACCUUCUUCUUUGUCUGGGAUAAUUACGGGAGACAGGUGCUACUACUGGCUCAUAUAUCCUACCGCUUAAAUCAAUAGUGAUUGACGCCUUUGCCGUUUCUAAUAGCUGGUUCCGCGUCGGAUUAGCUAGUUGGUAAGGUAACGGCCUACCAAGGCAACGAUGCGUAGCCGACCUGAGAGGGUGAUCAGCCACACUGGAACUGAGACACGGUCCAGACUCCUACGGGAGGCAGCAGUGGGGAAUAUUGGGCAAUGGGCGAAAGCCUGACCGAGCAACACCGCGUGAGUGAAGAAGGUCUUCGGGUCGUAAAACUCUUUUAUUGGGAAAGAAAAAAAGUAGGAGAAACUAUGCACGUCUUGACGGUACCCAAACAAAAAGCCACGGCUAACUACGUG
rnacentral:rRNA from 1 species